UAGGGAAUCUUCCACAAUGGACGCAAGUCUGAUGGAGCAACGCCGCGUGAGUGAAGAAGGUUUUCGGACCGUAAAGCUCUGUUGUUGGCGAAGAAGGAUAGAGGUAGUAACUGGCCUUUAUUUGACGGUAAUCAACCAGAAAGUCACGGCUAACUACGUGCCAGCAGCCGCGGUAAUACGUAGGUGGCAAGCGUUGUCCGGAUUUAUUGGGCGUAAAGCGAGUGCAGGCGGAAGAAUAAGUCUGAUGUGAAAGCCCUCGGCUUAACCGAGGAAUUGCAUCGGAAACUGUUUUCUUGAGUGCAGAAGAGGAGAGUAGAACUCCAUGUGUAGCGGUGGAAUGCGUAGAUAUAUGGAAGAAUACCAGUGGCGAAGGCGGCUCUCUGGUCUGCAACUGACGCUGAGGCUCGAAAGCAUGGGUAGCGAACAGGAUUAGAUACCCUGGUAGUCCAUGCCGUAAACGAUGAGUGCUAAGUGUUGGGAGGCUUCCGCCUCUCAGUGCUGCAGCUAACGCAUUAAGCACUCCGCCUGGGGGAGUACGACCGCAAGGUUGAAAC
rnacentral:rRNA from 1 species